UGAACGCUGGCGGCGUGCCUAAUACAUGCAAGUCGAGCGAACGGACGAGAAGCUUGCUUCUCUGAUGUUAGCGGCGGACGGGUGAGUAACACGUGGAUAACCUACCUAUAAGACUGGGAUAACUUCGGGAAACCGGAGCUAAUACCGGAUAAUAUUUUGAACCGCAUGGUUCAAAAGUGAAAGACGGUCUUGCUGUCACUUAUAGAUGGAUCCGCGCUGCAUUAGCUAGUUGGUAAGGUAACGGCUUACCAAGGCAACGAUGCAUAGCCGACCUGAGAGGGUGAUCGGCCACACUGGAACUGAGGCACGGUCCAGACUCCUACGGGAGGCAGCAGUAGGGAAUCUUCCGCAAUGGGCGAAAGCCUGACGGAGCAACGCCGCGUGAGUGAUGAAGGUCUUCGGAUCGUAAAACUCUGUUAUUAGGGAAGAACAUAUGUGUAAGUAACUGUGCACAUCUUACGGUACCUAAUCAGAAAGCCACGGCUAACUACGUG
rnacentral:rRNA from 1 species